rnacentral:tRNA from 1 species
GGAUUAUAGUUUAAUUAAAAUAUUUAACUUGCAAUUAAAAGAUACCUAUUUAAUCUGAA